UACAGAGGUGGCAAGCGUUGUUCGGAAUUACUGGGCGUAAAGGGCGCGUAGGCGGCCAUCUAAGUCAGACGUGAAAUCCCCCGGCUUAACCUGGGAACUGCGUCUGAUACUGGGAGGCUUGAGUAUGGGAGAGGGAUGUAGAAUUCCAGGUGUAGCGGUGGAAUGCGUAGAUAUCUGGAGGAAUACCGGUGGCGAAGGCGGCAUCCUGGACCAUUACUGACGCUGAGGCGCGAAAGCUAGGGGAGCAAACGGG
rnacentral:rRNA from 1 species